rnacentral:rRNA from 1 species
AUGAUAGAUAGUUCAAAAUAUCAGUGGUGGCGCGCCAUCAUGAUGAACAAUCUAAAGCUUGGCGUUGAGGUUGUCAGUGCUCAUGACCUCCUCCCUAAGGAGCAGGGCACAGCCAAUGCCUUUGUAGAGGUUGAAUUUGAUGGCCAGAAGUUUCGCACGGCCAUCAAAGACAGCGACAUCAACCCUGUCUGGAACGAGCAGUUCUUCUUCAACAUAUCAGAUCCAUCUCGCCUCCAAGAGAAAGAGCUCGAGGCGUAUGUGUACCAUGCAAACCGCGCCAGCAACAACAAGACUUGCCUCGGCAAGGUUCGUAUCUCCGGCACAUCCUUUGUCAGCCAAGCUGAUGCUGCGCCCCUGCAUUAUCCCCUGGAGAAGCGCACCAUCUUAUCACGUGCACGUGGUGAGCUUGGCCUCAGAGUUUUCCUUACAAAUGAUCCGUCUGUGAGGGUGUCUGCUCCAGGUCAGGAUUUUGAUUUCGCAAGCACGCCCACCACUGCCCAAGAGCAGGCUGUCGCCAAUGCUAUCCCAAAUCCUUUCCAAGACACCAGGAUAAAUCAAGUCAGACAAUUCCAACACUUGCCACGGGAACAGCAGCAGCGUCCACCACCCAUGGCCGGACAGCAAUACUACGCACAAGGUCAGGGUUCAUAUGGAGAGCAGCAACAGAGAAGCUACUCUGCUGCAGGGAUGAAAACUGAAGCCCCUCAGGUAGCAAGGAUGUAUUCCGCAGGUCCACAGCAGCCUGUAGACUUUCAGCUCAAGGAGACAAGCCCAACGCUUGGUGGUGGACGUAUUAUUCACGGCCGGGUGAUGCCUGGUGAGAAGGCUGGGGCAUAUGACCUUGUCGAGAAGAUGCAAAUCCUCUUUGUGCGUGUCGUCAAGGCCCGUGAACUGCCCCACAUGGACCUCACUGGGAGUCUUGACCCUUAUGUUGAGGUGCACCUUGGCAACUACAAAAUGAAAACAAAGUUCUUUGAGAAGAACCAGAGGCCUGAGUGGGAUGAGGUGUUUGCCUUCCCUAAAGAAGUAGUGCAGUCAUCGACACUUGAAGUUGUUGUCAAGGACAAGGACAUCCUUCGGGAUGACUAUGUCGGUCGGGUGAUGCUUGACCUGAAUGAGGUACCUGUAAGGGUCCCUCCUGACAGCCCAUUGGCGCCAGAGUGGUAUCGCCUUAUGGGCAAGGAUGGGAUGAGGGACAGAGGGGAGUUGAUGCUUGCAGUCUGGUACGGAACCCAAGCAGAUGAAUGCUUCCCAAGUGCCAUUCAUGCAGGAACAACACCAAUAGAUUCCCAUCUUCACAACUAUAUCCGUGGAAAGGUCUACCCUACACCGAGAAUGUGGUACGUCAGGGUCAAUGUAAUUGAGGCACAGGAUAUAUUCACAAUGGAACACCACCACAUACCUGAUGUGUUUGUAAAGGUGAGGCUGGGUCACCAACUACUGAAGACAAGGCAAGUUCGCUCACCAACCAAGAACUUCAUGUGGAAUGAAGAAAUGAUGUUUGUCGCAGCAGAGCCUUUUGAGGAUGACUUGAUCAUACAAAUAGAAAAUCGUGUUGCACAGAACAAAGAUGAGGUGAUUGGUGAAACUAUGAUACCUCUCGCAAGGAUUCAAAAGAGGGCUGACCACAAGGCAGUAGUACGUCCAUUGUGGUUCGAUCUCAGAAGGCCAGGACUGAUUGAUGUGAACCAGCUAAAGGAAGACAAAUUCUACGCAAAGGUGAACCUUCGUAUUUGCCUUGAAGGUGGUUAUCAUGUGCUUGAUGAGUCAACACAGUAUUGUAGCGAUCUCCGGCCAACAAUGAAGCAGUUGUGGAAGCCACCAAUUGGGUUGCUUGAAGUUGGGAUUCUAAGUGCAAAUGGCCUCAACCCAACAAAGACCAGGCAAGAAAGGGGGUCAUGUGAUCCAUAUUGUGUUGCCAAGUAUGGUCAUAAAUGGGUGCGGACACGCACAAUUGUUGACAACUUGAACCCUCGGUUCAAUGAGCAGUAUACAUGGGAUGUCUUUGACCAUGGAACAGUACUCACCAUUGGUCUAUUUGACAACUGCCACAUAGGGGGAGACAACAACAAUCACAGCCACAGCCACAACCAGAGUCAUAGCCACAGCAGCAGUUCCCCCAGUCAUAUGGAUAAACCCAUUGGGAAAGUCCGAAUCAGGAUCUCAACCCUUGAGACUAGGCGGGUGUACACGCACACAUAUCCACUGCUUGUCCUCCACCCAUCAGGUGUUAAAAAGAUGGGUGAAAUCCACCUUGCUAUCAGGUUCUCAGUCACAUCCCUGCUCAAUGUGUUCCUUACAUACUCACGUCCUCUCUUGCCCAAGAUGCACUACGCCCAGCCACUGUCAAUAGUCCAGCAGGAAAUGCUACGCCACCAGGCUGUGCAGCUUGUUGCACAGCGCCUGGGGCGCAUGGAACCACCAGUUCGCAGGGAAGUUGUUGAGUUCAUGUCAGACGCACGCUCUCACCUGUGGAGCAUGCGACGAAGCAAAGCAAACUUCUUCCGUCUGAUGCAAGUCUUCUCUGGAUUCAUUGCUGCAGGGAAGUGGUUUGGUGACGUUUGCCAGUGGAAAAACCCAGUCACCACAGUCUUGGUCCAUGUACUCUUCAUCAUGCUCGUCUUCUAUCCAGACCUUAUCCUUCCGACGAUCUUCCUCUACAUGUUCUUGAUUGGGUUGUGGAAUUAUCGGUUCCGGCCACGUGUCCCACCACAUAUGAACACAAGGAUAUCUUAUGCGGAUGUUGCGCAUCCAGACGAGCUUGAUGAGGAAUUUGACACGUUCCCAACCUCGAAGAGCGCUGACCUGAUUAGGAUGAGGUAUGACAGGCUACGACACGUUGCAGGCAGGAUACAGACAGUUGUUGGCGACAUCGCAACUCAGGGUGAGAGAUUGCAGUCACUGCUGAGCUGGAGGGACCCAAGAGCAACAGCUAUGUUCUUAUUAUUUUGCCUGUUCACUGCAAUUAUACUGUAUAUUACACCAUUUCAAGUGAUUGCGCUCUGCCUUGGGUUCUUCUGGAUGAGGCACCCACGGUUUCGCCACAAGGUGCCCGCAGCGCCAGUAAACUUCUUCAGGAGGCUACCUGCAAAGACAGACUCAUUGCUGUAA